rnacentral:rRNA from 1 species
AGUGAACGCUGGCGGCAUGCCUAAUACAUGCAAGUCGAACGAACCUUUCGGGGUUAUUCUCGUACGGGUUAGUAACACGAGGGAACGUUCCCUUAUGUUCAGACUAACUCUGGGAAACUUGUACUUAUACCGAAUGUGCCCUUCUAGGGAAUGAUUAAUCGCCUUUAGAGCUGCCCUCGUCUGAUUAGCUAGUUGGUUGAGGUAAUGGCUCACCAAGGCGACGAUCAGUAGCUGGUCUGAGAGGAUGAUCAGCCACAUUGGGACUGAGACACGGCACAAACUCCUACGGGAGGCAGCAGUGGGGAACCUUGCGCAAUGGGCGAAAGCCUGACGCAGCCAUGCCGCGUGAAUGAUGAAGGUCUUAGGAUUGUAAAAUUCUUUCACCGGGGAAGAUAAUGACGGUACCCGGAGAAAAAGCCCCGGCUAACUUCGUG